rnacentral:rRNA from 1 species
GAUGAACGCUGGCGGCGUGCCUAACACAUGCAAGUCGAGCGAACAGACGAGGAGCUUGCUCCGCUGACGUUAGCGGCGGACGGGUGAGUAACACGUGGAUAACCUACCUAUAAGACUGGGAUAACUUCGGGAAACCGGCGCUAAUACCGGAUGAUAUAUUGAACCGCAUGGUUCAAUAGAGAUAGCCGGUUUUGCUGUCACUUAUAGAUGGAUCCGCGCCGCAUUAGCUAGUUGGUAAGGUAACGGCUUACGAAGGCAACGAUGCGUAGCCGACCUGAGAGGGUGAUCAGCCGCACUGGAAGUGAGACACGGUCCAGACUCCUACGGGAGGGAGCAGUAGGGAAUCGUGCGCAAUGGGCGGAAACCUGACGGAACAAGGCGGCGUCAGUGAUGAGGAUCUUCGGGUCGGAAAACACGGUUAUUAGGGAAGAACAAGUGUGUACGUAGCGAUGCAGGUCUUGACGGGACCUGAGCAGGAAGCCACGGCUAACUACGUG